UAGGGAAUCUUCGGCAAUGGGGGGAACCCUGACCGAGCAACGCCGCGUGAGUGAAGAAGGUUUUCGGAUCGUAAAGCUCUGUUGUUAAGGAAGAACGAGUGUGAGAAUGGAAAGUUCAUGCUGUGACGGUACUUAACCAGAAAGGGACGGCUAACUACGUGCCAGCAGCCGCGGUAAUACGUAGGGCCCGAGCGUUGUCCGGAUUUAUUGGGCGUAAAGCGAGCGCAGGCGGUUAGAAAAGUCUGAAGUGAAAGGCAGUGGCUCAACCAUUGUAGGCUUUGGAAACUGUUUAACUUGAGUGCAGAAGGGGAGAGUGGAAUUCCAGGUGUAGCGGUGAAAUGCGUAGAUAUAUGGAGGAACACCGGUGGCGAAAGCGGCUCUCUGGUCUGUAACUGACGCUGAGGCUCGAAAGCGUGGGGAGCGAACAGG
rnacentral:rRNA from 1 species